UCAUUGUCCAACAAUGAUCGGAGCGAUAGGGAAGUGGCUAUAUUUGCACAAAGGAGAACCAUAACCUAAUUAGUAAUUGAUUCAUUAAACCUAAAGAUUUAGACUUUAAUCAAAAAGUUUCUCCCACUAUUUUAUUCAAAUUGGUAGCCUCUACCUCCAAUUCGAGGAAUUACCCUAAUUCCUUAGUGGGUACUAGAAUCUACUUAGACUGCACACAAGCCUAACUUUGGUUGGCCAACCCAUGUACAUCUAAGGGUAGGUUCAUAACCAAUUAUUUCUUUAAAUAAUUUCUAGUAAUUUUAAUUUUGCCCCAGAAACCUAAUCAGUAGGCUUUGGCCUCCACUGUAAGGAUCCGAUUAGGUCCAACCAUUAACAUGACCAUACUUGGUGCAUCUAACCAAUAAAUGAUUAAGCCCAACUUUGGUUGGCUCACCUAACUACCAU
rnacentral:lncRNA from 1 species